GUCUGUGGCCAUACCACCCUGAACGUGCCUCUCAGAAGCUAAGCAGGGUCGGGUUUGGUUAGUACUUGGAUGGGAGACUGCCUGGAAAUACUGGGUGCUGUAGGCU
rnacentral:rRNA from 1 species